AUCGCUUGAUCUCGUACGAUCAGCGAAGUUAAGCAAUGUCGAGCCUGAUCAGUCCCUACAUGAGUGACCGCUUGGGAAUACCAGAUGCUGUAUG